AGGUAGUAUUAAUAAUAAACCUAUAUAGUUUGGCGGCACUUCAUCUAUUUAGAGGAACUUGUCUUUUAAUCGAUACCCCGCGCUAAUUUUCACUUAAUUUUAAAGUUGGUAUACCGCCAUUUUUAGAAUAAAUUAAAAAAUUAAAUUCUAAAUAAAAAUCUAGAAAAUUAGGUCAAGGUGUUGCUUACAUUUAAGAUAAGAUGAGUUAUUAUAAACAAUAUUUAAGGAUUAAAUUUCAAUAAAAAUUUAUAAAAAAGAGAUUUAAAAUAGUAAACUAUAAACAAUACUUAUAAUUGAAUUAGAUAAUAAGUGAGC
rnacentral:rRNA from 1 species